rnacentral:lncRNA from 1 species
AUGGUGCCCUCUAGGGGGUACGAGUAUCUAUAUGUUCAUCCUCCUCCCUCCUCAUUAGUUGUCCAAUCGGUCAACGAGAGGGAACGCCACAACCAAAAGGCGCCAGCCCCCAAAUCAAAAGAGGCUAGGUGGAUGGACCUACUGGGCCGCAAGGUGUAUUCGGCAGGUGCCCUGCAGCUCAGGGUAGCCAACCAGCAGGCCCUCCUGAUCCGUUACAGCUACAGCACCUGGGCGGAGACGGGUAGAUUCACAGAUCUUCUACCAUCGGACUCUCGCCAGGAAUUUGCCACAUUCCUUGAAGAAGGGAAGAGGGUGGCUAGAAUCUCCCUCCAGGCUUCUCUCGAUGCGGCCGACUCGGCAGCCAGAACUCUGGCCUCAGGUAUCACCAUGAGGCAUAUCUCAUGGCUACAGGUCUCCAACCUGCCACCCGAGCUCCAAUACACCAUCCAGGACUUACCCUUUGAUGGCAAGGGUCUGUUCUCUGAAAAGACUGACCCCAGGUUGCAGAGUUUAAAGGACAACAGGGUCAUCGUGCGCUCGUUGUGCCUGCAUACACUUGUGACCCAAUGCAGACCCUUCCGGCCCCAACCUCACCGGCCUUAUUCUGUGCUCCGGCACAGACAAGACUUUAGCAGAAGGCGCGGGAGAGGUGGCCGUAGGCGCCAGUCUGGACCCCAAGGGGGUCAAAACAACAGCCCCACAAAAGCACCUCCGGGUCCUAAGUCUACCUUUCAAGGUACGCACAAGGACGGCGUACCAGUUUCAGGACAGGAUCUUUCUCCUCCUUUCUCCAACCGCCUCUCCUACUUCCUCCCGGCAUGGUCCCAAUUGACCUCAGACAUCUGGGUCCCACGGACGGUGAAACAAGGAUACCGCCUCCAAUUUGUUUCAUCCCCGCCUUCCCACCCCCCAACCCAGUCCCUCUUCAGGGACCCCUCUCACGAGCAAGUCCUCUUACAAGAGGUGCAGUCUCUCCUCGCCACAGGAGCAAUAGAGGAGGUACCACUAGAGGAGAGGGGAAAAGGGUUUUACUCCCGCUACUUUCUGAUCCCCAAGUCCAAGGGAGGCCUCAGGCCCAUCCUAGACCUGCGAGGCCUCAACAAGUUUAUGGUCAAGUUGAAGUUCCGCAUGGUCUCCCUGGGGACUAUUAUCCCAUCCAUGGAUCCGGAGACUGGUAUGCCGCCCUCGAUAUGA